ACACAUGCAAGUCGAGCGGUAGAGAGAAGCUUGCUUCUCUUGAGAGCGGCGGACGGGUGAGUAAUGCCUAGGAAUCUGCCUGGUAGUGGGGGAUAACGCUCGGAAACGGACGCUAAUACCGCAUACGUCCUACGGGAGAAAGCAGGGGACCUUCGGGCCUUGCGCUAUCAGAUGAGCCUAGGUCGGAUUAGCUAGUUGGUGGGGUAAUGGCUCACCAAGGCGACGAUCCGUAACUGGUCUGAGAGGAUGAUCAGUCACACUGGAACUGAGACACGGUCCAGACUCCUACGGGAGGCAGCAGUGGGGAAUAUUGGACAAUGGGCGAAAGCCUGAUCCAGCCAUGCCGCGUGUGUGAAGAAGGUCUUCGGAUUGUAAAGCACUUUAAGUUGGGAGGAAGGGCAGUAACCUAAUACGUUGCUGUCUUGACGUUACCGACAGAAUAAGCACCGGCUAACUCUGUGCCAGCAGCCGCGGUAAUACAGAGGGUGCAAGCGUUAAUCGGAAUUACUGGGCGUAAAGCGCGCGUAGGUGGUUUGUUAAGUUGGAUGUGAAAUCCCCGGGCUCAACCUGGGAACUGCAUUCAAAACUGACAAGCUAGAGUAUGGUAGAGGGUGGUGGAAUUUCCUGUGUAGCGGUGAAAUGCGUAGAUAUAGGAAGGAACACCAGUGGCGAAGGCGACCACCUGGACUGA
rnacentral:rRNA from 1 species